UGAGAGUUCAGCUAUCAUUCUAUCAUGACCACCAUUACUAAUAGAUUCAUCAUUGUUGACAUAAAAUAAUACUUUGCCGUUCUCAGAUAUAAGUUAGAUUAACUUUUUAAUACUUUGAGUAACCAAAAUUAACAUAUCGUAACUAACAAAAAAAGUUUUAUACAUUAAUUCAUCGUACAAAGUUUGUCCAGAAAGUAAUGAGCCUAAUUAUUUUGUGACUUAACUAUGCAAUGUGGAACGGUGAAACUGGAAGAACGAGGGUGCCUUUAGCUAUUCAUAGAUAGUUAGUUCCCUCCGAGCUCUCGGAGAGUUAGUAGUUAGCUUUGACAUGAACCUCUGUAUGGUGACCGUGUUGUAGUUAAGAUGGACAAAUUUUUAGAAUAACCUUAUGGGGUGAAAUUUUGUGUCAAGCUCAACAAGACCCCCAAGGAAACAUGGGAUAUGCUUCAAAUAGCCUUCAGGGAUGUUUCUAUGUUCUAUUUGCAGGCAAAGAAGUGGCACAAGCUGUUCAGGGAAGGUUGGGAAGACCAAUGAGGCCCGUUCCGCCCUUCAACAUCGUGAAUACCUCAACCGUGUGUGCGAAUUGUUGAAAACAGACUGACAAAUGACUGUUCAUAUGAUGUCGGAAUUAUUGAACUUGCCAAAAACCAUUGUCCAUGAGAUUGUUUCGGAAGACUUGGCUAUGCGGAAGAUUUACACAAAAUGACAAUGUGCCGUCUUACACAGCCUUGUUGUCACCUCCUGCUUGAUUCGGAUUGAUGUCGAAACAAUUCCCCAGUCACUCUACAGUCCAGACUUAGCCCCAGCGGACUUCUUUUUAUUUUGACUGAAAAGGGAGCUCAAAGAACAUCAUCUGGGCACCCGAAGAACGUCCAAGCUACUACUGAAAAGUAUUUCGGCAGAGGAGUUCCAGGGAGCUUAUACAGCAUGGGAAUCACAUUAGCAAAAAUGUAUUGAAGUGAAAGGGUCUUAUUUUGAAGAAUAUUAAGUUGUAGUAGUUGUAUGAUCAAUAAAUUUUGUAAAAAAAACCAGGCUCAUUACUUUCUGGACAAACCCUGUAUAUCAAUUAUAAAUUUAAAAAAUAUAUGAAACAAAAAUAUUUUAA